GACGAACGCUGGCGGCGUGCCUAACACAUGCAAGUCGAGCGAAGUUAUUCCUUCGGGAAUAACUUAGCGGCGGACGGGUGAGUAACACGUGGGUAACCUGCCUUAUAGAGGGGGAUAGCCUUCCGAAAGGAAGAUUAAUACCGCAUAACAUUGAGCUUUCGCAUGGAAGCUUAAUCAAAGGAGCAAUCCGCUAUAAGAUGGACCCGCGGCGCAUUAGCUAGUUGGUGAGGUAACGGCUCACCAAGGCGACGAUGCGUAGCCGACCUGAGAGGGUGAUCGGCCACAUUGGGACUGAGACACGGCCCAGACUCCUACGGGAGGCAGCAGUGGGGAAUAUUGCACAAUGGGGGAAACCCUGAUGCAGCAACGCCGCGUGAGUGAUGAAGGCCUUCGGGUUGUAAAGCUCUGUCUUUGGGGACGAUAAUGACGGUACCCAAGGAGGAAGCCACGGCUAACUACGUGCCAGCCGCCGCGGUAAAAC
rnacentral:rRNA from 1 species